rnacentral:rRNA from 1 species
UACGAAGGGUGCAAACGUUGCUCGGAAUUAUUGGGCGUAAAGCGCACGUAGGCGGCUUAGCAAGUCGGAUGUGAAAGCCCUCGGCUCAACCAAGGAAGUGCAUCCGAAACUGCUGAGCUUGAGUACUUAAGAGGAUCGCGGAAUUCCCGGUGUAGAGGUGAAAUUCGUAGAUAUCGGGGAGGAACACCAGUGGCGAAGGCGGCGAUCUGGGAAGAUAUUGACGCUGAGGAGCGAAAGCGUGGGGAGCGAACAGG